CCCGAUAGCGCGCACGCAGAAACAUGGCGGCCGGCAUAGAGCACAUCUUCCAGGACUUUAUUCUGAACAAAAUCCGAGAGAUUGCUGACCAGAAGGAGGACAGAGUGGACGGAGUGGACAGCGGCAGCGUGAGUGCAGACGCUGCGGAGGACGGAGCGGAGCAGGGUCCGGCUCAGGGUCCGGCUCAGGGUCCGUCUCAGGGUCCGGCUCAGGGUCCGGCUCAGGGUCCGGCUCAGGCAGCGGCUCCAGCUCCAGAACCGGGGACAGGUCCAGAACCCUGUCCGGAAACGGGACACGCUCACAAGAAACACAAGAAGCAGAAGAAACACAAGAGCAAAAAGAAAAAGAAGAAGAACCGAGAGAGAGAGAGUGGCUCGGAGUCUGGGACGGACGGAGAGAGAGGGCGGAGACGACAGGACAGAAGAGGAGCGUCUCCGCAGACCUCCAGGGAGGCAGGUGAAGAUGGAGACAGAAGCAGCAGAAAUCACUCCGCGGGGAAGAAGAAGAAGAAGAAAAAGAGGAAGAGGAGGAAAGAUGAACAGUCCUCGGACUCUGACGGGAAGCAGCAGGAGAACCUUGAGAACCCGUCCCUGAGAAGACCAGAGGACCUUCCAGACAUCAUCCCCAAACAGGACGGCUCCACUAAAGUCCUGUCCGGUGAGAACCAUCAGGGCUCCGCUCCGUCCCCUUCCACUCAGAGGUGUCCCAGUCCCCAGAGGAGCACCUGCAGGUUUUCAGUGUUUCAGAGACAGUAAAGCUGUCGUCUUCCUGGUAUCUGUAGUACUUGUCUCCUAGCCUGGACUGAGAUAUUACCGCUUCCCUCCAGGAGGGGGGAUCUUAGCAUGUUGGAGUGUCCAGUUAAAGGACUCCAGCCUCAGUGAGGAAACCUCUUGCCUGAAGGUCCUGCACCACUCACCCGGGUAUCCAUCACUCCCAGGACUUUUGUUAGUUUUCAGUUUACUGAUGGCUUCGUCCAGCUCUUGUUGUGUUAUUGGAGACGUUAGAGUUUCAUUUUGGUUAAUACCCAAAGAGGGGAGAUCCAGGUUUAACAGAUAGUUUUUAAUCUCCGUUUUGUUUAUAUUCUCAGAUGACGAAUACAGCAUUUUAUAGUAAUCUUUAAAGGUCUUUUGAAUGAUGUCUGGUUCAUGUAUUAUUUUAUUGCUGGUUAGAUCUCUAAUUUUGUGUACUGAGUGUUUGAUUUUUUGUGUUCUGAGGCGCUUUGCUAGAAUCUUUGUAGCUUUGGGUCCAGAUUCAUAGAAUAUUUGUUUUGUAAAUCGUAAUUUCUUUUCCAUCUCUUCAGAUGCCAUAUUGUCUGUCUUUUCUUAUUAUUUUUAUUUGUUCUAGCAGUUCAACGCUAUGAUCUGUCUGUUGCUGUUUUUCUAAUAUCCUUAACUGUUGUUGUGAUUUGUCUUAUUUAAGCUUUUUCAUUUUAUGUAUGUAGGAUGUCCUUGAGAUCAGAUUACCUCUCAUUACUGCUUUGACAGUGUCCCAGACUAUUGUUGGGUCAACCUCGUCAUCUCUAUUUAUAUUAAUACAUUCUUUAAUUUCUCUCUUUAUAUCUUCCACAGUUGCCAUAUUGUUAAGAAUUCCUAAAUUCAUUCUCCACAGAGUUUUUUGUUUGUGUUGUCCAGGUGUAUGGUUAAAUAGACUGCGUUAUGGUCCGAUGCGUCUGCAGUCUGUAUGGUACUUUCUUUCACCCUGUGUCUGUCUGUAAUGUUCAUCAGAAAGUAAUCUAUUCUGGAGUGUACUUUGUGAGUUGCUGAAUAAUGAGUAAAGUCCCUCUCUAGUGGAUGGAGGUCCCUCCACACAUCAAACAGGCUGCAUCCCUUAAUUAACAUAUUCAGGCUUUUGGACAAGUUGUAUUUGUGUCUUUUAGUACUUGUUGUAUCCAUAUUAUAGUUUAAAAUGAUGUUCCAAUCUCCUGCACAGAGUGCGAUUCCCUCACUCACUGAUUCAAUUUGGUCAAAGACAGAUUUUAGAAAUGUUUUGUCACUCUCUGGUGGCAGGUAUACAUUAGAGAGACCAAAGCACCGUCUGUCCUUCCUUUGACAAUCACACACCUACCCUCUCUGUCGGUUUCCUCUUUGAUUAACUCAAAAUUAACACAAUUAGGUAGCAAUGUUAUUACACCUCUUCUCCUACUGUUCUUACAUGAGCUGUAAAAAAUAGUUCACAUA